rnacentral:rRNA from 1 species
GAGUUUGAUCCUGGCUCAGGACGAACGCUGGCGGCGCGCCUAACACAUGCAAGUCGAACGAGAGAGAGGAAGCUUGCUUCCUCAAUCGAGUGGCGAACGGGUGAGUAACGCGUGAGGAACCUGCCUCAAAGAGGGGGACAACAGUUGGAAACGACUGCUAAUACCGCAUAAGCCCACAGGUCGGCAUCGACCAGAGGGAAAAGGAGCAAUCCGCUUUGAGAUGGCCUCGCGUCCGAUUAGCUAGUUGGUGAGGUAAUGGCCCACCAAGGCGACGAUCGGUAGCCGGACUGAGAGGUUGAACGGCCACAUUGGGACUGAGACACGGCCCAGACUCCUACGGGAGGCAGCAGUGGGGAAUAUUGCACAAUGGGGGAAACCCUGAUGCAGCGACGCCGCGUGGAGGAAGAAGGUCUUCGGAUUGUAAACUCCUGUUGUUGAGGAAGAUAAUGACGGUACUCAACAAGGAAGUGACGGCUAACUACGUGCCAGCAGCCGCGGUAAAACGUAGGUCACAAGCGUUGUCCGGAAUUACUGGGUGUAAAGGGAGCGCAGGCGGGAAGACAAGUUGGAAGUGAAAUCUAUGGGCUCAACCCAUAAACUGCUUUCAAAACUGUUUUUCUUGAGUAGUGCAGAGGUAGGCGGAAUUCCCGGUGUAGCGGUGGAAUGCGUAGAUAUCGGGAGGAACACCAGUGGCGAUAGCGGCCUACUGGGCACCAACUGACGCUGAGGCUCGAAAGUGUGGGUAGCAACAGGAUUAGAUACCCUGGUAGUCCACACCGUAAACGAUGAUUACUAGGUGUUGGAGGAUUGACCCCUUCAGUGCCGCAGUUAACACAAUAAGUAAUCCACCUGGGGAGUACGACCGCAAGGUUGAAACUCAAAGGAAUUGACGGGGGCCCGCACAAGCAGUGGAGUAUGUGGUUUAAUUCGACGCAACGCGAAGAACCUUACCAAGUCUUGACAUCCUGCGACGCACAUAGAAAUAUGUGUUUCCUUCGGGACGCAGAGACAGGUGGUGCAUGGUUGUCGACAGCUCGUGUCGUGAGAUGUUGGGUUAAGUCCCGCAACGAGCGCAACCCUUACUGUCAGUUACUACGCAAGAGGACUCUGGCAGGACUGCCGUUGACAAAACGGAGGAAGGUGGGGAUGACGUCAAAUCAUCAUGCCCUUUAUGACUUGGGCUACACACGUACUACAAUGGCGUUAAACAAAGAGAAGCAAGACCGCGAGGUGGAGCAAAACUCAGAAACAACGUCCCAGUUCGGACUGCAGGCUGCAACUCGCCUGCACGAAGUCGGAAUUGCUAGUAAUCGUGGAUCAGCAUGCCACGGUGAAUACGUUCCCGGGCCUUGUACACACCGCCCGUC